AGUUACCACUUGUAACACUUGUACAGUUUAAGUGUAAUAAAUUCAAUAUUGAAGUACAUGUGAAAUAUUAUACAAAUAAAGGAUCAGUCAGAGCCAAUCUCCAUGGCUGACUUAAAAUUUAUUUUAUUCCUAACGAGUAAAUAAAUUAACUCGUGCGAGACUUAAUGAUAGAGGUGACGGGGCUGUUGUGGAUAUGUUACGAGAAAAUGCACGUAUGAUCCAAACAUAAGAAAUCCUGUCCGCCAGUGAGAAAACGCAUCUCAUUCACCCAGCCAUUUCUCCGACAGAUGUCAUCAAAAAUUCCGAACAAAUUUGUUUAUACACUCGACGAUAUACCUCAUAUGUGAAAAAUUGUAGAAUAAAAAAUUGUAUGCAAAAAAAAGA